GAGCUCAACGAGAACAGAAAUCUCAUGUGGAACAAAAGGGUAAAAGAUCAUUUGAUUUUGAUUUUCAGUACAAAUACAAUCCGUGAAUGUGUGGCCUAUCAAUCCUUUUAGACUAUCGGAAUUUGAAGCUAGAGGUGUCAGAAAAGUUCCCACGGGGAUAACUAGUUUGUGGCAGCCAAGCGUUCAUAGCGACGUUGCUUUUUUAUCCUUCCAUGUCAACUCUUCCUAUCAUUGUGAAGCAUAAUUCACCAAGUGUUGGAUUGUUCACCCACCAAUAGGGAACGUGAGUUGGGUUUAGACCGUCAUGAGACAGGUUAGUUUUACCCUACUAAUGAAUCGCGACGCAAUAGUAAUUCAACUUAGUACGAGAGGAACCGUUGAUUCACACAAUUAGUCAUCGCGCUUGGUUGAAAAGCCAGUGGCGCGAAGCUACCGUGUGUCGGAUUAUGACUGAAUGCCUAAGUCAGAAUCCACGCUAGAAGCGGCGCUUAUCACUCCUCGAUUAUAUCUUGACCCACAGUAUGGGUGUCGCUUCGGCACCCCCAGUGGCCCGUGUCACUUGCAAACCUCGAUCGAGAAGCGUCUCAGUCGGGGCAGCUUUGAAGUUCAAUUUCAAACGGUCAUUGAGAAGAAUCCUUUGCAAACGAUUUAAAUAUACGACGGGGUAUUGUAAGUGGCAGAGUGGCCUUGCUGCCACGAUCCACUGAGAUUCAGCCAUUUGUCGCCUCGAUUCAG
rnacentral:ncRNA from 1 species